UACGGGGGGGGCAAGCGUUGUUCGGAAUUACUGGGCGUAAAGGGCUCGUAGGUGGCCAACUAAGUCAGACGUGAAAUCCCUCGGCUUAACCGGGGAACUGCGUCUGAUACUGGAUGGCUUGAGUUUGGGAGAGGGAUGCGGAAUUCCAGGUGUAGCGGUGAAAUGCGUAGAUAUCAGGAGGAACACCGGUGGCGAAGGCGCUCAUCUGGCCCAAUACUGACGCUGAUGCGCGAAAGCUAGGGGAGCAAACGGG
rnacentral:rRNA from 1 species